UACGUAGGGUGCGAGCGUUGUCCGGAAUUAUUGGGCGUAAAGGGCUCGUAGGCGGUUUGUCGCGUCGGGAGUGAAAACCUUGGGCUUAACUCAGGGCUUGCUUUCGAUACGGGCAGACUAGAGGUAUGCAGGGGAGAACGGAAUUCCUGGUGUAGCGGUGAAAUGCGCAGAUAUCAGGAGGAACACCGGUGGCGAAGGCGAGUCUCUGGACAUUUCCUGACGCUGAGGCACGAAAGCCAGGGGAGCAAACGGG
rnacentral:rRNA from 1 species